CAACCAAGCAUGGCUGCAUUGAAGAAUCAAUCUUUUCUCUCUCUCUCACGUAGAAAGAACAAGCUUAUCACUGUUCUCAGAUGGCAUCUUUUUCAACCUCGACCUUACAGCCAAGGUACUUUGGUUUUACCAAAAAUAAUGUACAGAUGCUAGCUAAAUAAAAAAUCAGUAAAGGUGAGUGUUUAAAUCAACCAUGAAUGAAUGAUAAUAUAUGCUAAGU
rnacentral:lncRNA from 1 species